ensembl:lincRNA
GAUUUCUGCAGGAGCUUGGUAUAGGAUAUGUGUGGUUUUCUUGUGUGCAGCAUGACACCUGGGAAAGGAGAUGCCCUUAGAAAAUUAAAAAGUACUGUUCUGUUCCCUAUCCACCCAUGGGGCUAUAUUUAUUUGGUCAGUUCAGUUGUGUUUUUCUGAAUCUAUGAACCAAGUUCCAAGAGGGAUAGCACAUAUGGUGCGCCUAUCCAGACAAAGCUCAACAUGCCAGGGAACAGAAGAUUUGAAAAGUAUGUUGGCAACUACUUUAUUCUACUUAGGGUAGUUGCCUAAGAUCUCCCAUCCAUCCUUCCUUCUUCCCUUCUUCCCUGCCUCCCUCCUCUCUCUUCAGAAUAGAGUAUAUGUCUAGCAACAUCAUAUGCCUGACACUCUUUUCUUCCUUGCCUUGGUGGUUCCAGACCGUGGACUUCACCCUCAUUCCUUGUUCGCCGUCUUCCCUUCGAACUGAGUGAUGAUGUGGGAGAUGGUUCUGCCACGAGGAUUCAUCUCAGUUCUCACCAUCCAUCUUCUUCAUCUCAACUCAGGUCCCCUGACACAGAACCUUCAGAGUCUUGGUUACCUGAUCCAGCUUCUGUGACCAAAAAUGGCAGCCGUACUGUGACAGUCUUACUGGGUAAGUUCCACUCUUUCUGUUCCUCUCAAUGCUAUUUGUCUGGGGCAAGACCAGACUUGGUUGGGUGGGUGCUUAGUGUGUAAGCAUUGAAAGCUGAGCUUUCCACCUGAGCUGGAGCAUUCAUGCAGCCUGUGGGGAGGCCAGUCCUAUGGUUUCUUGAGAGUAGCAGCGGCUACUUCUGGCAGUGGCUUCUCUGAGUGGAGGGCAGGAAUGACCAAACAAGUCUCUAAUUCCCACAUCUCUAGUCUUCACAGAUCCUUCAUGGCACCUGAGCUGGGGUGUGGGAUACCCUCUGUUCCCCUGCUGUCCUAUUUGUAAAAAUAGGAUGCCAAGUGUCAUGGUAUGGACCUGUGAUCCCCAUCUCUGGAGAAACUGAGGCAGCUGUUGCCAGUUAGCCUGGUCUUCAGGCAGUUGCAUUUUUUUGGGUGGGGGGAGACUACAAAAGCAAGAGCAAGUGGGGCUGUUCUCAAAAGUCACAUCUGUCAUGUGAUACUUAAAAAAUAAUGCUUUCUCAUUAAUAAGAGAAGAUUCUGUUCAAUGGGAAAGCAUAGGAAGUAUUGGGGGCGGGCAAAAUGUUUAUAGUCACUCAAAGAUGACCACUGCCAACGUUUGGCUAAUAAUGUUUGGUUUCUGGUUUAUUCCUAUAAAUACACUCUUGCGCUUGUGUGUGUGUGUGUGUGUGUGUGUGNNNNNNNNNUUUUUGUAACUAUGGAGUCUAGAUAGUAUCUAUAAUUAACAAUUGGUCUGUGUGUGUCCAUCUGGAAACAGGUGCAAAAGCUGGGUGGCCUUUGUUAGGUGCCUUCUCUGCGUACUCGCCUCUGCAGUUUGGUCUAGUGUCUUGCUGUUCUUUAUACAAGCAAGUGGCUCUGUCAGGAGGCAGGAACACGAGGCCAAAUUACCCUCUGAAAACUUUUUUUGCCCAUUACAUUUUCAGAAUUAGUUUGAGAAAGUGCCUGCUGCUCUGGGAAUUAUCAGAGUUUUUAACCUUUGCUGGUUUGUCAAAACAUGACAUUUCACUCCUUCCAUCCCCACAGCUUUUAUCACACAGCACAGAGCACUUCCCACCCUCUUUGUGGGGUGUUUGUAUCUGAAUUGCUAGCUCAGGCUCCUUGCACUUUUCAUUAUUCCUUUAGUUAUGUUUUUUUUCUUUUCUUUUUUUUUUUUCCUGUCAAACUCAUGCAUACACAUCAUUUUAAGAGCCAGAUCCUUCUACAAGAUUGUCAGGGAAGCGUCAGCCCUCCCUCCCUCCCUCCCAGCUCCACCCGAAUAUUAUAAUAUGCUGCCUUACCUGUAACUGCCUUAACUGAUUCUCUCCACAUUUACAUCCUAAUGCUAAGUAACAGGCUUGGUUUUCUGCUCCUUGAUUUUCUUUCUUUGUGUGUGUGUGAUUUUUUUCUUUUUUCUUUUUUUAAGCUUAGGCAUCAUUUUGAUUGCUCUAUUGUUGAAGACAAGCAUUUAGCUCUUUUUUCAUAUGCCCCUGUCUUCACCCUGCACACACAACCCUGUACUAUCCUCCCGAUAGAUUAUUUUGAAAUGCUUGCUUGCUUUAUCAAUACUUGAGAGGUUACACCCCUUGUUGAGUAUGAACACGCUCAUAAAGCAUAAUAACCUGAGCCUGAGUAUUUAUCUUCUCUCUCGUAUUUUUUUCUCUUCUGGAGUCUGUAUAUGUAUGUGUGCGUGUGUGUGUGUGUGUUGCUUUGUUUUGUUUUGUGUAACUCAGGUUAACUCACAGCCUUCCCAUAUAUACAAAAAACAUGAAGUGUUCAAUACAUAUGUGUAUAAUGUUGAAGAACUUUCUUCCUGGAGUCAGCUUCUAAUCUUCUCAUGGGCUAGCUCCUCUUUAGGCUGACACCAUCUUGAUCUUCCCAUCUCCUCCUAAGAACAGGUUCCUUUAUUUUUCUAUCUCUUAGAUGGGUUGUUGGUUUUUAUAGAUGCCAUGAUAUUCUUUUUGGGGGGAGGGGUGCUAUUCCCAUUUUGAUAGAAUAUCCAGAAAAAAAUUUUGCAUAGUCAAUUGUCCACAUUGACAUUGAUAAAUCAGCUAGGUAUAAAAUUCUCAGUUACAGAGUCUUUCCCUCAGAUUUUCAGAAAUACAUGGACUUGGGAAAAAAACAGGUUAGAAACCCUCAGGGUAAGCAAAUUAGAGAGAGAUGGAGAUGAAUAACAGUCUACCAAAAAGCCUUGUCUUCUAGCUUCCAGGCCUACUGUGAAAAGCCAUAAGCCCUUGUCUUGAGGGAAUAUGUAGUAUUUUCCUGUUUUCUCUCUUUGUAUGAGAAUUUCAUUGCUUCUAUGUUGAUUUGGAUAUAUGCUCUUCUAUUUUCUUCCUUUUGAUCCAAAACUUUCUCUUUUACCCCUUGAAGCUAAUUUUUCACUCUCUUUCCUCCCCUGUGCACCUUAAUAGUAUAUGGAAUCACUUUGACUGAUUGUAUAGUGUUACAACUUCUUCCCUCCAAUUUUGCUCUAUUAAUUUUUACUCAAAUGCUACCAGCAUUCGCUUCCUCCCUCCCUCCCUCUCUUCUUCCUUUCUUUCCUUCCUUCCUUCCUUCCUUCCUUCCUUUCUUAAAUUUACAUUUAAUUACUUUCCAUGAAGUCUUUUAUUCUAAAAUUGUGGUGUUAGUGAGAUGGAUUAACAGUUAAGAGCUUGGAAUGUUCUUAUACAGGACCAGGGUUUGGUUCCCAGCACCCAUGGUGGGUGGCUUAUAAUCACUUUUUCCCUAGAGCUAUAUGAGAUCUGAUGGUCCUUUCUAGCACUGGUUGUAUCUUCAUGCAUGCAUAUGUGUGCACAUGUAUCUGCAUGCACACGUACACACUGAUACCUCUUCCCCCUCAUACACAUGAGCAUGCCCAUGUGAGCACAUACACAUGCGCACACACAUGAAAAUAUUAAACUAACUCUUAAAGUUAAAAAUUGUUAGGUUAAAGAAAUAUAUCAUUUCACUUUUUCCUUAAAGUUUCUUCAUUUGCAUUUUUGUUUGGAUAAAAAGGUAUUUCAAUAACAAAGCUCAUAUAGUCAUUUUGUUCUAGACUUCUAUAAUUUUAUGUCUUCUAUUUCAACAUUUAUACCAUUAAUUCAUUAUAGUAAUAUCUUAUUUCUACCUUUACUGCAUUGCAUAUCAUCUUUAAAAAUGUGUGUAAGUGUUUUGGCUGCGUGUAUCUGUGCACUAUGCCUGUGCAAUGCUGAUGGGGACUUAAGAGGUAUUGGUCCCCAUGAAACUAGAGUUAGAGGUGCCUGUAAACCAUCAUGUGGUAACCAAACAUGGCUCUUCUGCAAGAAGAGUGCUAGUGCUCUUAAAUACUGAGCCAUGUCUCCAGCCCCCUAUAUAUGCCUCUACUGUUUUGAUUCCUGUGUUGAUUUUACUCUCUUGUAUUGGCUUACUAAAUUCUUAGGCCAGCUGUAGUUUAUUUUCAUGAAUUAUGUUAUAUUGAAUCAUUGUUCAGUGGCAAUAGUCUUCCUUUAAAUUUUUUCUCCUUUUAGUGUGAUUUGGUUUUCAGGUGGAUUUUAACGAUACUGUGAAUCUUAAAACAGUCUAGAUUUUCUGUGGACUUUAUAAACUUGUCCAUCAAAGCCAGACAUAGUGGUGCAUGCCUGUAAUCCCAGCACUUGGGAGGCUGAGGUAGAAAUAGAAAGAUCAUGAGCUCAAGGCCAGACUGGCUACAUAGGGAAACACUGUCUC